rfam:Podiceps cristatus contig130691, whole genome shotgun sequence.
GAAUAGGUUUCACUCGAAACCACAUAAAUUCAGCACACAUUGCAA